AACCAUCCUUGUAUCCCCCCUCCCUGUAGAGCAAAGUGGUCUCCGGAACCGGUGAGUACACCGGAAUUGCCAGGACGACCGGGUCCUUUCUUGGAUCAAACCCGCUCAAUGCCUGGAGAUUUGGGCGUGCCCCCGCGAGACUGCUAGCCGAGUAGUGUUGGGUCGCGAAAGGCCUUGUGGUACUGCCUGAUAGGGUGCUUGCGAGUGCCCCGGGAGG
rnacentral:other from 1 species